CUGCGCCGAGGCGGGCGGCAAGAUCUACGUCGCCGGCGGGCACGACAAGCACAAGAACGCGCUCAAGACCGCCGAGGCCUACGACGCGGAGGCCGACGCCUGGGACCCGCUCCCGGACAUGUCGGAGGAGCGCGACGAGUGCGACGGCAUGGCGACUGUGGCGGGGGACCGCUUCCUCGCCGUCAGCGGGUACCGCACGGCGAGGCAGGGCGGGUUCGAGCGCGACGCCGAGUGGUUCGACCCGGCGGCGCGGGCGUGGCGGAGGCUGGAGCGCGUCCGGGCGCCGCCGUCGGCCGCGCACGUCGUGGUCCGGGGCCGCGUGUGGUGCAUCGAGGGGAACGCCAUGAUGGAGUGGAUGGGCACCCGCCGCGGGUGGACCGAGGUCGGGCCGUACCCGCCGGGGCUCAAGGCCGGCACCGCGCGCGCCGUCUGCGUCGGCGGCGGCGAGAAGGUUGUGGUCACCGGCGCCCUCGACGGCGAGGGCGGCGGCGCGCGACACGCGGUCUGGGUGUUCGACGUCAAGACCAAGAACUGGACCGUGGUGCGCCCGCCGCCGGAGUUCGCCGGCUUCGUCUUCUCCGUCACGUCCGUCCGCAUCUGAACAUCUGGAUCUCGCCCUCCCCUGAUCCAGACCAAGAGAAAAGGAAAAAAAAAUCAAGGCUACUGCUAGUACGUAUAUCCUUGCACCGUGUCCGCCAUUGCUGGAUCUGAGAUCUGCGCAUCUGUCCGCGACUAGUAUGCCCGUGCCAUCGAAGUAGCUGAAGAAGGAAGGAGACCCGAUCGACGCCAGAUCUUGGAGCCAUGGGUGUAGAAAAGCAAAAAAAGAUUCCUCCUUUGUUGCUGGUGGUGAUGAGAGAUUAGUGUGGUGGUGUUUUUGUCCCGAGGUGAAGGACACAGACUAUUUUCUUGCUGUUCUUGUCCUAGAGCCAUGCUUAGCUAGCCGAGUAAUAACAGCUACUGUACAUACUACUACUGCUAUUGUACUGUAAGAUCCAAGGUCGCCUCUUGUGAUCCACUCCCAUCUCGAUCCAGAUCUGAUUCGUGGCGAUGAGCCGAGGAGCAAUGGGAGAGGCAGAUCUCGUCUUGAUUGAUUCUUCCAUGGCCGGCGCCUCGCAAGCGUUGAACAGCUGCCGUUGAACAAGAUGCGGAUUUGCCGGGAGAGCAUCUCGAUCACAUCAGCUGGAAGCUAUUGUUUAUGUUUUUCUGACUAAACAACGGGCGAUCCUGAUUUGCGACCCCCCGCUGGCGUCCAGCGUUCCCCAUCAAUCAAUGAAUGAAAUCGAUGAGGAGGAGAAGCUUAGAGUUGACAUCGCCGCGAGAUUUUUAUUUUUCUUCGCCGGGAGGCGGGGGUGAAGCGAAGCUUCGCCUCCUCCAAGGGCCAACCGCCAGCCAUCCACCUGUAUUGCAUCAUCAUUUUCAUCCUCGCACGUCUCCAUCCGCCAUUACAUUUUCUCUCCCUCGUCCUAAAAUAAUGGAAAGGAAAGGAAGGAAAGGCCGAGAAGCCAAGCGACGCAUCCAUCCCAUCCGCAGAGAGAGAGAUAAGGCCGCCACCCGCCAGCGGUUUUGGCGUCCCGGCUGGGGCUUGAUUGACGCCGACACGCAGCGAGGCCGGCCGGCUGGCGGAGGAGCUGGUUCGCCGUCUCUUCGUCCCCGCUCCACUCGCUCCCAGCCGUACCAGGGACCAGCGUGGCGAGGAGAUGAUGCCAUGAGCUGGCGGCCGCGUUCCUUUUCCAGCUGGGUUUGCAGCGGCGUUUUCCGUGCCGGGUCUCGGAGUUUCUUUUCCUCGUGCGUGCGAUUGUGCAAAGCAUCUCGCCCGAGAUCUGGCGAGGAGGAUAAGGACACGGAGGCCGCGAUCCGGGCGGUCCAGCCCGUGGUGGUGGUGGGGCUGGGGGUGGCGUCCGCCGCUCGCCAACCGAUGGAAGACGACGAGCGGGGUGAGAUGCGCCUGCGCGGCGUUGUCGGCCCGUGGCGUCCGGCCGGGGGCCACGGAUGCUGGCGACGCGACCCCGUCCCUCUGCUUGCCUGUGCCUAGUUUGCUUUUGCGAAAGCUCCGGCGAACGAACUUCCACUGUAGCUGCACCUACGCCUACGUGUGUUUCUUUAUUAGCACUAACAUCACUACUUGUCGGUGAACACUGAACAGUAUGUUCGUUCGUGUUUAUGUGAAGUGGAAGAGUGUUAUUUUCUACUCCGUACCUACAGUUCGUUCAUAGAUACGUUUUUAGAGAUUUUUUUCAUGAGAAACAAUCAAAGAAUUAUUUUGGCUGGAUGGUUCAUGCUUUUUUUUUUAAUAAAGGAUGGAUGGUUCAUGCGUUUGGAGAGGCUCAACGGCAUGCCCAUGCUACGAGCUUUGGAAACUCCGUCGGCCGCUCGCUGGCACGCGUGUGCGUGAGAGAGACCAGCAGAGGCCCAACCCCAAACAGGCAUAUGUGUGCGUGCGCGUUGCAACUUGUUGAUGGGUCCACACAUCGUGUAGAUUUGGCCCAGGCCCACGUAAACGCACGGGGGAUGGAGGCUGGGCUGGCAGCCUCGCUGAAAGCAUUCCAAUAGCAGCAGCAAAACUUUUCAGCAAGGCCGGGCUACCGGGAAUUCCAAUCUAUCUCCCCCAAGAAAUUAUUCAACUCAUCUUCCAUUAUUUAAGAUUCGUGAUGAGAUUGGAACAUGCGAGCGCGUGAGCGGUUUAGAGUGGAGUUGUCCAGGUGUCGGCGCGUGUGUGGGAGGCUGCAUGCACGGGUGGUUUCUCCGUACGGUGGCAGAAGGGUGAGAUUCCUUUUAGAUUCAAAACUUCAAUCUUAUUUUUCUCUUAAACCGGGUUUAAAUACGUUUUGGAUUCUGUUUGAACCAUGAUACUAUUUAGAAUUUAUGCAACAAAACAAGAUCCACUAUAAAUAUAUAUUUUUUUAAAUCAACAUUUUUAAUGCACUCUUUCAACAUUUUGAAUAUACAGUUUCAACAUUUUCCGCAUGAAAUGUUGAACUACUUUAUUGAAAAUGUUGAACUAGUAUGUAUAUAAAUGUUAAAUCUAGUAUUUUAAAAUAUUGACUACAUUAGAGUAAUAUCUUAAGUGUACUUUGGAAGAAAAAAUGUUGAAAUAGUAUUUUUCAAAAAAUGUCGAGCCAUAAUGUUGUUGAAUGUAAAAAAGUUGAAAAAAUGUUUGCGUGUGUGUAAAAAUACGUUAAGCCAUAAUGUUGUUGGAUGUAAAAAAAGUUGAAGAAAAAUAUAGGUGCAUAUAAAAAAUGUUGAUCAACUUAAUAAAUGUUGGUGACGAUUAAACUUAGUUUCAAAGAAAAUGUUGACGAAUGUAAAGAAAUGUUGGUGAAUGUCAAAAAAAAUGUUAAAGAAAAAUGUUGAGUCAUAAUGUUGGUGAUGUAAAAAAAAAAGUUAACGAAAAAUAUUCAGAAAGAAAAAUGUUGGUCAACAUCAAUAAAAUGUUGGUGUAUUCAAAAUAUGUUUAAAAAUAAUUUGAUUCAAAAUAUGUCGUUGUAAGAAACACCGUGGUUCAAACGGAAUUUGAUUUGGACACUUGGUUUGGAAACUACGGAUUUUUUCUUUGAAUCUUCAUUUUACACAAAAACUAAACAUGUGUCAGACUUCUUUUCUUUGUGCAGAGGUGUAUUAAAGUAGUCGUGGGCUGUGGGUCUAUUGAUGGGCUGUUAUUGGGCUUUAAAGAUCAACACGUUAAAUAUCUAGCAGAAGAUAGAUAGGAGCCCCCGGGCUACUAGUGCGCUGCAGGCGAUAAAAUGAUGACCCUGUUUGUAUACGCUUUUCCCAGCCACGCUUAGAUUAUAAUCUAAGCGAAGAUUUUCUCGCUUCUCGCUUUUCGCUUCUCGUAGUUCAAAUCGUUGAAGCGGCUUACCACAUAAGCGAGAAUCGGUGGAAAUAAGCAAAGCGUUUGACGGGAUUCUCGCUUAUUUCCACCGAUAAGCCGCUUAUAAGCGGAUACAAACGGGGCCGAUAUACGAUCAUUUUAAUCUUCCCUGGCUCAAUAUGAUAUGGAGCACAACAUAGCACAAAUGGAACAUCAAGAAGUUUUUUUUUCUAAAUAAUAAAAGCCUAGUGUAACCACUUUUUGUAGCACACACUAUUUAUAAUAUUAGAAUAAUUGUUGACGAAAAAGUUACAAAGUUUGAAUUUUAAAAUGGGUGAGUGUUUUGUACAUUGGGACAGAUGGAGUGAUUUCUUGGGGCAAGUAACUAUCUAGUGAUAUCGUAUAAAUAUUCCCGAUGUGCUGGCAACGGCGAUGAAAUUUGGGCUCGGGAUAAAUAUUCACGAGCAGAUCUGUAACCGAGCUGUUAAUUAGGUUAAAUAUUCUCGUGGAUCAAAUUUGAUACGGUGUAUUAGCAGCAAGUAAAUGCGCCUAGAACUUGACACGUCAGUACGUAGUGGCCAAUAAAUGCAUACCUAUCUGGAAAAUAUUCGUGAGGAUCAAAUUUGAUAUGAAAUAAAUGCACACUUCAAAUUUGAUAUGAAAAAAAUGGAAACAGAUCAUAAAAUGGGCACAUAUAUGGUUAGUGAGAAUGCACCUCGAGUCCUAUAUAAGCAUGCAUCUGCCAUACGAAGGAGAAUCAAGAAACCUGUCAUCUCUACUACGUCCAAAAGCUUAGUGUGUAGACUCAUGGCGUGCUCCAAGAAGACUCUCGCCUUCCUCGCCGUCCUGCUGCUGAUGGCUCUCGUUGCUGCAGCCGUGCCCGCGGGCAGGCGCAGCUUCCUGCUGGAAGGGGAGCGUUGCUCCGAGUCUAAAAACUGUAAGGCAGACACGUGCGGGGCGACCUGCGCCGUCCUCGGCAUCAACGGUGUUGGGGUAUGCAAGGUCGACGGUGGUGUACCCUCUUGCUGCUGCGUCCCAAAAUCCUUCAACUCCAUCGGCAUCGACCGGCUUGCUCAUUGAUUCAUAGGUUGCCUGCCAUGACUGAGCAGUUGAUUUUUUUUUAUAAUUGUAUGUUUCUAAUGCGUGGUUUCACUGUGAUUUGUAAGGUACGAAACGUGUGGCGCAAAGCCUUAAGUCCAUGCUCAUGCCAAAUAAAGUCGCAGUUUGUAAUGCAUUUUUGAAUAGAUGUUUUUCUUUUCAAAAUUUUGUGAAUUAUUCACUUUGUGAAACUGUUGAAUAUUCAUAUUUCCUCCCGCGCUGCACAUUCAUGGCCCCUCCUACAUUAUCUUAUCUUUAAGAGCAUGGUCGAUUUAAGCUCGGUGAUGACUCGGUGUUAGUACACCAAUGGGGCUAUGUGUAGAGCUGAGGGUGGAGAAUAGUUGGGGCCAAAUUAUCAAGAACUUUUUAGUGACUACGGAGUACCGCAUAAAAACAAUAAUUUAGCUCCUUUUUUAGCGAGGUAUCAGCUUGAUAAAAAGCUACUGCCUUUUGCUCGCACGCUCGCAUCCCACGCGAAAUAGCGGACGCGUGGCAUUGAGCCGCGGCUUUGGCUGUUUUGCAAAAAAGCCCUCCGAUUUGCUAAAAAUCGUAACUUAGUCCAGAGCGUCCAGCUGAACAGUAAACACGUUCGUCUAUUUUCCAUCUAAGCCCUUGAACUAAAUUUUAUUUCUACGCAAAGAAAGGAAAAUUCGAUGAUGAUGUCAUUUUUCUGAAGAUCCCCCAUGAGGCAUCUUUUCAGAAACCCCCUCCCACAGUCUUGAAUCCUAACUCCCCCUCACUCUCCUCCCGAUCGCCCUCUGGCCUUUGUCUCCCUCUAUCCUCCUCCUCACCGCCGCCCUCUCAUCUCUCGCUCCGCCGCUGCCUCCUCUCACCUUCUCCCUUUCCACCGCCUCCGCCGCCCCUUCCUACUCUCCGCCGCCGCCGCCCCGCCUGCUGCUCCCCUGCUGCAGCUGCCCCGCCUGCUCCCGUGGGAUCCAUAUCCAGUGCGGCGGUGCGGCUCGGAGUGGGAGCGAAGGCGGAUGACACCUCAUUGCCACCUGGGGCUGCUCUUAGCGCUGGAGCUGCACGCGGUGCUCGCCAGAAGUGACGGACCGUUGGCAUCCCCGUCCGAGGAGGCGCGCCUUGAGGCCGUGCUUUGGUAGCUCAUCGCGGAUGAGGUCCGGAUCCGGGUGCACCAGCUCUCGAUCCGGGGCUGCAAUCGCAUGCACCGCGUUGGUGGCGAAGCCCACGCAGAGGUGCUCUCUUCCUUUUCCCUCUUCCUUCCUCUCUCCCGUUCUUAUCCACUCUCAUAUCUCAGAUCCUCUGCAUGGGGGAAGGGGUGGAGGGAUGGCCAGCCUCGAUGCUGCGGCAGCUUGGUAGCUCAGCCCAAACGUGGCACGGGCGUAGCGCGGAUCGCUACCUAGGUGGUGCGGUUUGUCGGGGUAGGGGGCAGCCAGCACUGGCAUGGCGAGCGGGCUAGGCUAGCGAGGACGCAUCGCGGUAGGGCGGUCCUACCCCUGGUUCCUCUCUCUCCUAUCUCUAGACCUCCCUCUUCCUGGCGGCAAUUAGAUCGAUGGUGACGUGGGGACGAGUGGCAGCCUGGUGUGGGUCUGCAUAGUGCCGUGGAGAUGAGCUACGCGUGGCUCCUUGCCCCUAGCUCCCCCCUGCAACUCCUCUUCUUGUGCCGCUUGCGAUGCCUCCCCAAGUUAGGAUGCCCAACAUGGCAGCGCUGCCAUGUGAGGCCCACGAAGUCAGCGUCGGAGAGGCUUCACGGAGGCAUGCACCGGCGCUUGUUGCAGGCCACGGGGCUGGAGCACCGGCCAACAGUGGCUAGCAGGGCAAAAGCUUGAAGCCUCAAGCAGCGGCCAGUAGGAGCGAGCAACUAAAGCAAUGUAUGCAAAUCGAUAGAUGUAAUUCCCAAAUUCGAUAUUACUCUGAUUGAGGGUCCAAUAUUAUCAUGCAUUGCAUUUAUCUAUUACUUUGAUUAGUGGUCCAAUUUUAUCAAGCAUCAAAAUGGAUUCAUUUUUCUGAAAUAAACAAAAUGAAUUCAUGUUUUAUCUAAUCAAUACAGUAACGCUCCAAGUGGACAAACAAAUGUCCAUGGUUACUCUGUGUGGCAGCAUUCUAAAAAGCAUAUGCUUUCAACAAAUGUGCCACAUUAGACAGCUUAAUUCAUGGGAAAAAUCUAGGAUGUACACUAAAUCCAUAUUGCCAAUAGGUUCUAUAUUCAUCAUUUACUAGAAGUUUUUCACUAGCAAUAUGAAAUUUGGAACAAGUGAUAUCUGCCAAUCAAUACCAACCACUGUUAACUCUGCUUUUUAUUGAAAGACUGGAGUAUUUGAUGCAUUCCUAAAUAUAUUGAACCACUGUUAUAAUCUGAUAUCUGUUUUUUAGCUAUGCCUCAAUUUUAGGAAACUUGUUAUGCUUAUUGUUUCAGUCAUAUUAAACAUGCUAUGGAGAAAUUACUAAGAUGAAAAAAAUAUUAGGAAUCUCAAUCUCCAAUCACAAAUAGGUUUUAUAAAAGACUAUAAACAAAAUAAAAUGUGCAAACUCACAUAAUGGCAUUAUUCAUAAUAAAGGAAAUCAUCAGUUAGGUUGUUCAGAUGAAUGAUAGUUUGUCAUUGCAAUCGUGAUAUGUGUAGGUGAGAAUGGAACUACUGAUGGUCAAGGCAGUGUGUGGUGGGAUAUGUAUGUGGAAGAAAGGUACACUGCCAUACACAAAUCCUCACCUGCUUGAGCUGAGAGCUCUUCUGGCUAUGCUUGAAAAUAAAGAUUAGUAGGGUGCCUAUCAUUGGUAUCAUUUUUGUUUGUGAAUGCCUAGGUGCUUUAGACAUGUUUUAAGAGCUGAGCUGAAGGUUUUUUUUAAUCUACACACCUCAUGAAUUGUGUGAUAACUCUUAUUUCAAUUUUUUUUGUGACAGUGGUUUGCCUGCCCAUCCAAUCAAGUAUGUGUCUGGUGAUUGAGUUUGCCUGCCCAUCCAAUCAAGUAUGUGUCUGGUGAUUGAGAUGCAAUCAGAACAUAGAACAGGUCUUUAAGGAAGAGGUCGUGUGGUGUUUCUGUUUGUUUGUUAAGCUAUGAUUUCACACAACAUUUAUGUGAGAUCUGAAUUUCAUGCAGCUGCCAGGAAUGGCAAAUUUAUAUGUAUUCUGUACUCAUCUUUCUAAAUUACAGAUAUUGGUAGUCCAAAAUUUAUAUAUUAAUCUGAUUUGAUUGAUUAUUGUACUACCUUCUGAAUGAUUUGUGUUUCUAGAUCUUCUGGAAAUAACUCAAGAUAUCAACUAGAUGUCAGUAUGUUAAUGAGCUCUAUCUUUAGCAUUUUAUGUUAAAAUGCAGUAAUUUCGUGGUGCAUUUGUCUUGUUGCCUUCUAUUUACUUGAAUUUGAUUGCUGAAAUUGUAGGGCGCGCAUCGCGUGCCAAAUGUUCUAGUGAUGAUAAAGGAAGCCCUAUGCAGAACUUGGUACCUUUGUAGGAGCCCAUGUCAGGCCGAUUGAUGGCAUUGUGCCCGGUUAGAGUAUUGGCAUGAGGGAGGAGUAUUCGUCAGGUGUUGCAAGGUGCACGGCUGGUGGAGCUUGAGGCUUGUGCAUGACAUGUUGAAUUAUGUUGUGCAACGACACCUACUAGGUUUGUGCAUGGUAGCAGUGGCACGCUGAAUUAUGUUGUCACCAGUGGUAGGGUCCGUACAUACUGAAGCUCAGGUCAGAUAACAAAAUGAUCCUUUUUUGUUUUCUUUUCUGAUAAAAGCUCUGGCGAACAAACUUUAUAUGUGUUUUUGCUUAGCCCUAAUAGCUCCACUUGCCAGUGAAUGGCAUAGUUCGUGAUUUUUGUGAAUAUGAAGAGUACGUAUGUUGUUGUUGUGAGUGAGAGAUUAAUUAAGUGUGUAAGCUUGUCUGACAGAGUCACACACAUCGUGUUGGAUUUGGCCUAGACCUAUGUAAACGCAUGGGGGAUGAGGCUGGGCUGCAAGGGGAAGGGCCAACACAUCGCCAAACUUUCAGCUAGGCCGGGCUAGGGCCUCAAAAUGAUAUUUAUAAUCUACCAAGUAGUAUUUACGAUAAUUCUUAUUUUCUCUGGUUCAAAAUGAUAUGGAGCACAACAUAGCAGAAAUGGAGAAACUUGUGCAGAAAAUGAAUUUUAGGUUUCUUAAGGAGAAAUUGAAUAAUGAUAUGGAUAGAUCUAUGAAAUAUUCCCUCCACCCCAAAAUAUAAGGCGUGGUUUUACUUAAAUCAUACUUUGACCGAUAAUUUAGGUAACAAAAUUUAGAUCAUCGGAAAGUGUCUCUAAUUAAAAACCUAGUGUGACCACUUCCGUAUAGCACAAACUUCUCACUAUACUAGGCUAUUUGUAAGUUAAAAAAUUACAAACUUUGAAUUUUAAAGUGUAUUUUAGGCAGGAGGGAGCAAUUUCUUGGUGAAGUACUAUCUAGUGAUGUUUGUUGACCGCUCUUAAGUACUAAAUCUACGUCAUCAACUCCUGCAUAAACACAUAAAAGAUGAGCAUCAACAGUAGUGGUAGGAGUUAUUACUAACUAUUCCACAAGUGUUGGUGAAUAUAUGUAUGCAGGGCCAUUAAUGGAGAAAACACACCUCAAGAGCAAGGAACACACUCUCAACCAAUCAGGAGCAAGCAUACAGAUCCAUAGGCCCACAACCGGGAGGAAAUCGACUACAUUCACCGCCAAGCACCCUGUACCCAUAUGAGGACCCACAGGGCAGUGACCCAGAGCAAAGACGGUGGUGGGGGGUCGGCUGAACCCCUCCUAUCUCCUCUCAUCUCCAGCCGACACGUGGCAACGGUUGAUGGUUUCCCAAAGACGUUUGUGAAGAUUCCCUUAAUAUUCUUGCCCAGAACCGACCCCAAGAGCCUGUAAAUAUAAGGGGAAGGGUCUCAUUUCAAGACACACCACUAACACACCUCUACACCAUCACUUCAAGAUCACACUUGAAGUCUAGAGCUCCACUCCAUGGUGAAGCCCUGCUUAGGCUAGUGCUUAGUGUAGGGAGAGAGAGAGAGAGAGAGAGAGAGAGAGAGAGAGAGAGAGGGAGAGUAGAUUGGAGGAGUGCUGAGUUCUUCAACACUCCACUCCGAUCAUGUACCUAUACGGAUGCUGGCUUCUUUCUGAGUAAAGUGAGUAUUCGUGAUUCCUUAUCUAGUGUAGUACUUAUAUCUAAGUGAGAUCAGAUCUCUCUGCUUGCGGGUUCGUCGCUCUGUAUUUGUACAUAGUGACGUAGUUUGCUACAGGUUGACAGACGUAGUUAGACUGCGGUAGUAAUCAAUAGUCUAGACGUGAUGUCUAGGCUAGGGGUUAUCCUUCAUUUGCCUUAUAUCCCAUGGAUUUCUAGGGGUAGGCAGCAGGUGGUGACAGCCCUGUUCGUCCUUCGUAAGCCCCCACAUUUGGAUAUAGCGUAAAGCUAUUAGCCAGAGGUGCCUGACUCAUUCAGGAUAAGCCAGUGCCUGAAGCAAGUAUCUUUUAACUGAGAGAUUGACCUUUUAACUUUUCUCAAAUACUAAUCUUAGGAAUCCUCUCUACCCUUCGCCUACUGUGUCAUGGUUGUCCUAGGAUACUAGAGUCUGAGGUGAAAGCUACAACGGUAUUCGUGCGCUUGCGGAUUCAUUCACGCAUCGCUAAAAUACCCAAUAAUGUUGUAUCAACAUUCUUGAUGUGCUGAAAGCGGCAGAUCAGAUCUAGGCUCCAGAUAAAUAUUCAUGAGCAGAUCUAUAACCGAGUUGUUAUUUAGGAUCAAUAUUUCGAGAAUAAAAUUUGAUAUGGUGUACUCCCUCUGUCUUGCAAAGAGUGUCCUUUCAGUUAUAUCCUAAGUCAAACUAUGUUAUGUUUGACUAAGUUUAUAUAAAAAUAUAUCAAUGCUUUUGACGUAUAGCAAGUUUCAUUAGAUUCGUUAUGAAAUAUAUUUUCAUAGCAUACCUGUUUAAUGUUAUAAGUAUUGAUACUCUUCAUUGUAAACUUGGUCAAGUUAGGGCAAACAUAAAGAGACACUCUUUGCGGGAUGGAGGGAGUAUGUGUAUUAGCAGCAAAUAAAUGCACCCAAAUACAUGACAUGUCAGUAGUGGUGGCUGGCCAAUAAAUGCAUGCUUAUCAGAAAAAUAUUUUUGAGGAUCAAAUUUGAUAUGAUGUAUUAGCAGCCAAUAAAUGCUGACUUCUCAGAAAAUGUACUAUACAUAUAUAAUUUGAGAUUCCGUUGAUCGAUGAAGGAAAGAUAUCACGUGAUACAAUAGCAAAAUGGAAACAAGUAAAAUGGCACAUGUUUAAUUUGGUCGUACCUCGAGCCUAUAUAAGCGCGCACCCGCAAUACCAAGGAGCAUCAAGAAAACCAGUCGUCUCUACUACGUCCAAAAGCUUAGCCUCUAGCCCUAAUGGCAUGCUCGAAGAAGACCCUCGCCUUCCUCGUCGUCCUACUACUGAUGGCUUUCGUUGCUGUGGCCGUACCAGCGGGCAGGCGCAGCUUCCUGCUCGAAGCAGAGCAUUGCUCCGAGUCUAAAAACUGUAAGGCGGACACGUGCGGGGCGACAUGUGCCGUCCUCGGCAUCAACGGCGUUGGGGUAUGCAAGGUCGAAGGUGGUGUCCCCUCUUGCUGCUGCGUCCCAAAAUCCUCCAACUCCAUCGGCGUCAACCAGCUUGCUCAUUGAUUCAUAGGUUGCCUAUGAUUGGGCAACUGAUUUAAAAUUUUUAAAAUAUAUAAGGUAUUAGUGCGUGAUUUCUUCGAUUUGUAAGGUGCGAAACGUGUGGCACAAAGUCUUAAAUCCACCUCAUGCCAAAUAAUAAGUAGCUGCUUGUAAUACAUCUAUCAAUAGAUGUUUUAUUUUUUUCUCAAAAUUUUGUGAAAUUUUCACUUUGCAAUACGGCUGGCGAUUCAUGGACCCUCCGCGCUAGAACAUGGAUGGCAUUUCCUACUUUCUCCCUUUCUGAUCUUUAACGAAGAUUGGAUCAUGUGACAACUUGGUACUGUGCAAGAAUUGGGCUAUGUGUAGAGCCAAGGGUGGAGGAUAGUUGGUGCCAAAGGGUCCCCCAUACUAUCAAGAAUUGUUGUAGCUAAUGACCAUCAAAUGAAUAAACAACACGGCCCUUUGGCGAGAUACGACGAUGGAGAAAGUGCAUACGGAGCUCGUGGUACCUAGUAGGAGUUCGUGUUGGUAGGUCAAUUGGCAUGAGGAUAAUGUAGUCGUCAGGUGACGCAAGGUGUGCUGUCGGUGGAGUUGAGUCUUGCUCAUGGCAGCAGUGGCACAUUGAAUUCUGAUGUGUGAUAGCGUUGGUGGCGAAGCCCGCACGUAUAGGAGCUCAGGUUGACAACAAAAUGGUCUUUUUUUCUUUUCUAGAAAAGUUAUUUAUGAAACUCUUCCGAAAAAGUUAUUUGAAAAACAUUUUUAGAAAGUUUUAAAAAAUUUAUACAAAUGAUUUUCUAAAUAACUUAUGUGAAAAGUUAUUUGAAUAAUUAAUACAUUUUUUGGAAAAGAUAGUUAAUACCUUUUGAAUUAAGUUUUUCCUAAAAAAAUUUCUAAUAAAGAGUUUUUGAAACACUUUUCUUAAAACCCCGCACCCUCUGAAAUUCCAUGCAAACUUUGCUACUAUUUGGAGCAGUCACUAGGACCAUCUUCUCUCUGGGACAUUGUACGUGGCAAGAUGAAAAAAUUGGCAAAAAUAGAUAUUUUGGUCUCUGAAUUUUAAAUCAAGGGUCAAAUUCUGUCGGGCAUGCACCCCAGGCCCACGAGUAGACCUUGGACAGUCCACUAAGGGACGUACUCGGAUAUGAUCAGGACAAGGGAUAGGUGUAUCCCACUCGGACUAGUCGAGUAUGUGUAUGGAAAACUACUCGGGCCAUACCGAGUAGAACUCUGUAAUAGCACCCGACUAGGACUCAGACUUGUAACCCUGUCUUCCUGUGCAUAUAAGGACGGACAGGGACCCCCCUCAAACAGAACAACUCCGGUUCAUCCAAGAUCAAUACAAACAAACACACAUGACGUAGGGUAUUUCGCGAUCUAGCGGCCCGAACCUGUCUAAAUCGUGUUCCUUGCGUCACCAUUGAUUCCUUGAUUCUCGACGAUCCUUACCGCACAAAAGACCACCUAGGGUACCCUCUAGGCGGGUUGCCGGUCUAAAACACCGACAAAUUCAUCCCUCAACUUUCACGGUCAAUUUAGUCCCUCAACUUCUAUUUUCGGGUCAAACUCGUCCUUAUGCUGAUGUGGUGCUAUAUCCUAGUAUAAGACUAAUGUAAAAAGUCCAUUUUACCUUUGGCUCAUGUAGGUCAAACAUGUAGAUACACGUACUCUUUUGAUACAUACACAUGAAUAUAUUUUUUAACUAAUAUAAAAUAUAGUUUCUAAAAAAAAGUAUGUAAUUGCACUCUUUAAAAUCAUGCGUGUGCUAAUAUUAAUUAAAUUUUAAUAUGCAAAAUGUAUGUACUCAUAUUCUUUCAUGAUAUACACAAUUUAAUGUAUGUACACGUACUUUAAAGUUGACAUGUGCUCAUAUACUUGUAGUACGGUAUACAUGCUCCACAUAUGUAUUCAUACUCUCUCAGUAAAUAUACAUAUGCUCAUACUUAUUUUGGAUAAUAUUGUUAAUGUAAGGCGAAAAUUGAGGAGGGGAAGAAGGAGCCAAUGGCAAAAAAUUACUUUUCGCAUUAGUUUCAUGCUAAUAUGGAGCCCUCAUAUCAGGGCAAGGACAUGUUUGAUCAGAAAAAUAAAAGUUGAGGGACUAGAUUGACCAUUCUGAAAGUUAAAAGAUAAACUUGACUCUCGGUGCAAAGUUCAGGGACUGAAAUGGCUAUUUUGCCUUAAAAAAGUGGAGCAGCCACUACUUUGCUAGUAGUAGUAGUAAUGAUGAUGAUGAUGUGUAUUACAUCGCAAUUGAAUAGGUGGACCAAAAAUUGCAUUUGUUGCUUGAACAUAAGUCUUGAAACUCUUGAAUAUAUACCGUAUAAUCUUCACUUGAAAAGCAUCAUUCUUCUAAAAUGAAAUCUUGAAUUGCACUCUGUGUUGAUGCGAUGAAAUCUGAAAUGAUGAGAUGAAAAGAAUAAAAUUAACGGGUGCACAUAUACACUCAUCUAUAUUAUCCAAUACAACAAGUAAAUAACAAUAAGUGAAUUCUAAACUGAUACGGUGUCCUGACCUCCCAUUGAUGCGUGAUGCAUUGAUGCAUGCCCUGAUGGUUACCUUCCUCCAUGAAAAAAAACAAAGCAUUAUUUGUCAUUGUCCAAAACAUCUACUUAGAUGAUAAUUCUGACAUCACCGCUUGCAUGAUGGAGCACGUAUUCACUAUUCUUUAUCGUUCUCACUUGAUACAACUCUCUUGGAUUCACUCGUCUGAUUCCAAAUGGAGGAACACCGUCAACUUCACGCUCCAAAACAAUAACAAAGAUGCGUAGCGGCGUCCAAACGCAGCCGGCAACGACCGCCUGUCAGCUUCUUCCACACGGCCGGACUGAUUUUCCAAUGUCAAUGCAUACGUACCGCUGCAUUACUGAAGAUAAAACAUUUAAAACAGAGUGGGUCGUCUGCUCCGGUCUCCUGUUAAACCUGGGAAUCUGACACUUAUCCUCCUUACUCAUUUCAAACUAAGAAUCUUUGUUUGUAUGCACUGGAACACUCUAUAAUCAGCUCAAAGUCCUGGCGUGAGACUUGGUUUUUGCACGAGGAAAAGAAAAAAGAAACGCUCCCUGUGUGGUGACCCAAAAUUAUGUUAUCUUAUAUAUUAUUAAUACAGUCACAAAAACUUAUAAACCGAUAAAUGAGAUCCAAUAUAUGUUAUCUACGCUGGGGAGGGGGAAUGUCUAUUUGCCACCACAAAACUUCCACAUGAGACAAUUUGGUUCUCCUAGCUAGUCCUAGGGUUCAGGAGACAAGGAGACAACCUCAUACAUAACACGAGGAGACAACCUCACACAUAAACCAUUGAAGAACUUAAACAUGCUUGAAUCUAGAACUAUCUAGGAUCAUUGGAAACGCUUGUAAAGUCGUCGUGAGAAUUAAGGCCUUCCUAGUACACAAGUUAUCUUAAUUUACGCCUAUGACCUCAAUGACCUCAACAGUUAUAUUUUUCAUGUGCAGGCUAUACAUGGUGGAAUCUGCAAGGUUUUGACACUUGGAAACAGAGGACAUGAAGCCACUCCAAGAAAACAUGGAAAGUGACAAACGCUAGAAGAACACAUUUACUUCACCUACUACAGGACGGCAACCCAACGUUAACGCCAGACUAAUCUACCUAGCAGCUGAACUUGUUAUCAAAUAAACAACACUUUAUGGACAGCAAGAGAGACAGUUCCUGUAACCAGAUAGCUGUAUAUAUACAAAUGCGACAGACUUGAACUUUCGUUCAUCUUAUCGAGUAUAUAACUCACCUUGACAUACACAUCCAUUAUGGACAUAUCAAUACUACAACUUUCAAGUUGUAGCUAGAAUCUAAGCACGUUAAACUGCAAAAACAUACCAUCAAGCUAGAAACGGUCGAGAUGGAGAACGGGCAUGAGAUAGCAGCAUCAGAUGGCGAGAAAGGUCCAGAGCAGCACGCCAUUGAUGUUGGCCAUGUCGAGCAUGCUGAUGGCAAAGGCGAGGACAUCGACAAGGAGAGAGUGGCUGUGGCUGAGGAGGUGCAGAAGAAGAGCAGGAGAGUGGCAGCUCUUGAUGCCUUCAGAGGGCUAACCAUUGUGGUACAUACGCCCAUCGGUUCAUAUCUCCUAUUUGGUUCAUUAAUCUGAAAAGUUUGAUUUGUUUAGUCUCAUCAGCAUUUCUGAUUGCCAAAGCUCCAUUAUGAUCUGAAAAAUGAUUCAAGGAAGUUGCAUCUAUAUUAAGAAACAAAUAAGGAUUAGGACUUAGGGAUUAACUAUACACGUUUGUGUUUUCUUUUUGUUGCUAGGAUUAAUUCAACUUUUGUUUUGUCAAGCGUAAUAAGUGUUUCAGUGUCACAUAUAAAUAGUUGAGUAUCCUUGCUUGCAGCUCAUGAUACUGGUGGAUGAUGGCGGUGGAGCUUAUGAGCGGAUUGACCACUCACCGUGGAACGGGUGCACUCUGGCAGACUUUGUCAUGCCGUUCUUCCUCUUCAUAGUUGGUGUCGCAAUCGCCUUCGCAUUGAAGGUGAGUAAGCAUGUACACACUAGAAUUGAAAAUUCAAUAAUACUCUGAAUCUCUUGUUCUGUUGCAAGUGAACGUUUCGUGCUAUCAGAGAGAACUGAUCAUCAGGUGAACAUGAUUGCAGAGAGUUCCGAAUAUCGGUGUCGCUGUGAAGAAGAUUGCCCUCAGAACACUGAAAAUGCUCUUCUGGGGUGUGCUUCUCCAAGGUAAUUCUUUCAUUACCAUGAUUCUGUUGCAGCUCUUACUCCAAUUCAUGUUUUGGUUGAAACAUUUUUUUGUCACUGUCGGAUUGGAUGAUAUGUACAAAGGUGGGUAUUCUCACGCUCCGGAUGACCUUUCUUAUGGAGUGGACAUGAAGAUGAUAAGAUGGUGUGGCAUCCUACAGGUUUAGUUCAUCUACCAAUAAGAAAAAAAA
rnacentral:lncRNA from 1 species